UACGAAGGGGGCUAGCGUUGUUCGGAAUUACUGGGCGUAAAGCGCGCGCAGGCGGCCAUCCAAGUCAGGGGUGAAAGCCCGGAGCUCAACUCCGGAACUGCCUCUGAAACUGUUUGGCUUGAGUACGGGAGAGGUGAGUGGAAUUCCCAGUGUAGAGGUGAAAUUCGUAGAUAUUGGGAAGAACACCAGUGGCGAAGGCGGCUCACUGGCCCGUUUCUGACGCUCAGGCGCGACAGCGUGGGGAUCAAACAGG
rnacentral:rRNA from 1 species